AACGAACGCUGGCGGCAUGCCUAACACAUGCAAGUCGAGCGGCAGCGGGAAAGUAGCUUGCUACUUUUGCCGGCGAGCGGCGGACGGGUGAGUAAUGCCUGGGAAAUUGCCCAGUCGAGGGGGAUAACAGUUGGAAACGACUGCUAAUACCGCAUACGCCCUACGGGGGAAAGCAGGGGACCUUCGGGCCUUGCGCGAUUGGAUAUGCCCAGGUGGGAUUAGCUAGUUGGUGAGGUAAUGGCUCACCAAGGCGACGAUCCCUAGCUGGUCUGAGAGGAUGAUCAGCCACACUGGAACUGAGACACGGUCCAGACUCCUACGGGAGGCAGCAGUGGGGAAUAUUGCACAAUGGGGGAAACCCUGAUGCAGCCAUGCCGCGUGUGUGAAGAAGGCCUUCGGGUUGUAAAGCACUUUCAGCGAGGAGGAAAGGUUGAUGCCUAAUACGUAUCAACUGUGACGUUACUCGCAGAAGAAGCACCGGCUAACUCCGUGCCAGCAGCCGCCGUAA
rnacentral:rRNA from 1 species